rnacentral:rRNA from 1 species
UUGAGCAUCAAACUUUUAAAUUGAAGAGUUUGAUCAUGGCUCAGAUUGAACGCUGGCGGCAGGCCUAACACAUGCAAGUCGAACGGUAACAGGAAGCAGCUUGCUGCUUUGCUGACGAG